ensembl:lncRNA
GUUUAGGGGCAGUUUCACUUGUUGAGGGCAUUUUUUGGGCUUUUUUUACUUGGUGAGGGCAGGUUUGGGGGUAGUUUUACAAGAGGAUAUGAGGUUUUGGGCUACUUUUCACCCAGGGUGGUAGAUUUGGGGACAGUUUUCCUUGGUGAGGAAAGGUUUUGGGCUGUCUUUUGCCCGGGGCCGGUAGAUUUGGGGGUAAUUUUUCUCAUUGAGGGCAGGUUUGGGGGUAGUUUUUCUAGGUAAGUGUCAAUUAGGAGUGAAAUUUUGGCCCUUUUUUUUUUUUUUUAAAAUCCAGGGGAGGGCAGGUUUGAGGCAGUUUUACUUGGUAAGGGUAGAUUUGGGGGCAGUUUUACCCAGGGAGAGCAGGUUUAAGGGUACUUUUAUUCGAAAAGGGCAG